GGGGACGUAGAGCGUUACGGAGACGCGCUGGCCUGUAGAGCCGGAGCCCUUGGAAGCCCGCUGGGUUCGACUCCCAGCGUCCCCA
rnacentral:tRNA from 3 species